GAACGUGCCCUUUGGUUCGGAAUAACUCAGGGAAACUUGAGCUAAUACCGGAUGUGCCCUUCGGGGGAAAGAUUUAUCGCCAUUGGAGCGGCCCGCGUUGGAUUAGCUAGUUGGUGGGGUAAAGGCCCACCAAGGCUACGAUCCAUAGCUGGUCUGAGAGGAUGAUCAGCCACACUGGGACUGAGACACGGCCCAGACUCCUACGGGAGGCAGCAGUGGGGAAUCUUGCGCAAUGGGCGAAAGCCUGACGCAGCCAUGCCGCGUGAAUGAUGAAGGUCUUAGGAUUGUAAAAUUCUUUCACCGGGGACGAUAAUGACGGUACCCGGAGAAGAAGCCCCGGCUAACUCUGUGCCAGCAGCCGCGGUAAGACAGAGGAGCCAAGCGUUGUCCGGAAUGACUGGGCGUAAAGCGCACGCAGGUGGCCGUGUACGUGUCGUGUGAAAGCCGCUCGCUUAACGAGCGGAGGCCACGACAGACUGCACAGCUGGAGGCCGUGAGAGGUCCGUGGAAUUGCCGGUGUAGUGGUGAAAUGCGUAGGGAUCGGCAGGAACACCAAUGGGGAAGCCAACGGACUGGCACGGUGCUGACACUGAGGUGUG
rnacentral:rRNA from 1 species